AGCCCUAAGGUGUUAUACACAUCAGAUUGCAAAUCCGAAGUUGCAGAGUAACUUUUGCUGGGGCUU
rnacentral:tRNA from 1 species